AAUACAGUUCCCGAAACAUCCAGGUUACCUCCUGGGGUGUAGACUCCCCAUCUGCCCCAGUGAGCUGUGCCCAGGCCCCUCUUCUUGCCCCUCUUACCUGAAUUGGCUGUUGGAGCUUCCAGGCUUGGGAAGCUCAAGCCAGGCUGGGUUGGUGGUGUAGCCAUAGGAGAGAGCAGGAGCUUGUGAGCAGCACCACUGAGGCCCAGAGUCUUCUGAGCCCUUUAGGGCAGAAGGGAGAGUCUGGUCUAUGUGAUACCAGCAUUUACACCUGAGAUUCUUAUCCAAAAGUCCUGUGUCCACAGUCAAGCCUCUGGGGUGAGAAGGAGGGCUUAGGGAGGCCUCUGGCAUGGUGGCUUCUUAGAAUAUUGAGCCAGACUCUCCAACAUCAGUUCUCUUGGAGAGGUGUCCACUCUUCUGGGCAAGACAGGCGAGAGAGGGAGGGAUUCCUGCCAAAGCCACUAAUAAACAAAUUCCUCCCAUCACUGAGUGAAGAUGUUGCCACUUUGGAAAUGGGCUUGUCCACUCUGUUGGAAGGCUGAGAUGUCCUGGUGGCUGGGGCCUACAUCUUGCUCAAUAGUGUCUGAGACAUGACUGGAAGACAUCUGCUCAAGAUGGUGGAGUGAGCACACAUCAAACCCUCUCUGUAACUGCCUCGAAACCUGGAGGAAUGAUGGGGACACACACAUACUCUUUCUUUCCCUCUCUCUCCGUACUAAGAAUGAAGAGUAAACUUACAGGAUAAGCUGGUUAAGAGUAGCCCAGGGGUAGAAGGAGUUGGAU
rnacentral:lncRNA from 1 species